AACGAACGCUGGCGGCAUGCCUAACACAUGCAAGUCGAACGAACCCUUCGGGGUUAGUGGCGCACGGGUGCGUAACACGUGGGAAUCUGCCCUUUGCUUCGGAGUAACAGUUAGAAAUGACUGCUAAUACCGGAUGAUGUCGCAAGACCAAAGAUUUAUCGGCAAAGGAUGAGCCCGCGUAGGAUUAGCUAGUUGGUGGGGUAAAGGCCUACCAAGGCGACGAUCUUUAGCUGGUCUGAGAGGAUGAUCAGCCACACUGGGACUGAGACACGGCCCAGACUCCUACGGGAGGCAGCAGUGGGGAAUAUUGGACAAUGGGCGAAAGCCUGAUCCAGCAAUGCCGCGUGAGUGAUGAAGGCCUUCGGGUUGUAAAGCUCUUUUACCAGGGAUGAUAAUGACAGUACCUGGAGAAUAAGCUCCGGCUAACUCCGUGCCAGCCGCCGCCGUAACAC
rnacentral:rRNA from 1 species